rnacentral:rRNA from 1 species
GGCGGUAAAUUUAUAUUUAGAGGAGCUUGCUUAUUAAUUGACUUUACUCAUUAUAUUUAACUUUAUUAAGCUUAUUUAUCUCCGUUAUUAGGAUAUUAAUUUAAAAAAAUAUUGUUAAUUGGAUUUCAGGUCAAGAUGUAGCUUUAUAAAGGUGGAGUGAGCUACAUUUUAAUAUAAGUGGCUAAUAUAUUUUAGUUAUAUUAAAAAUUGGAUUUAGUAGUAAUUUUUUUUAGAAUUAAAGGAUGAAUUUGUAAAAUUUAUGUACACAUC